UAUGCCAAGUAAACAACGCUGGUCAGGAACGACCUAUGUAGGUAUGAUUCUGUUCAUAUGAAAUGUACAGAACAGACAAAUCCCCAGAGACAGAAAGUAGGCCACCAGCUCGGCCUUUCAUGGCUUUUCCUGCCAGCACGGAGCCCAAGGGUCAAGGAGGGAGAUGACUGGAAUGGGGCACGACUGACCUUCAAUCUAACCGAGCAGCUUCAAUGGAAAACAUCCGAUUCUUCCUCUUACGUCAUCCGGGUGGUUUGGUUAGCGCAUCUUUUUCUUCCCCUGAUGAUAAAGCAUUUCUUUUGUCCAUUAAAUGCCACCUCCGAGCUAAAAUGCAUCCCAGCUGUGUUUGCCCCGCAUCGUCCGUGGCCAGCCUUUCCCAAACAGGCCGAAGGGCCAGGGAAGGAAUUCAUUUUUGAAAUGGCAUAGGAAUUAAGACUAGGAAUGCAUGUUAAUCCCACCAAGAACACAAAGGGAACGACACUUCCCGGUGAAGUCUUUUCUCCCCCCUUUCUGUGGCUUUAUUUCUUCCAUUGUGAAAGGCACCCACUUAGCAGCCUCAAAAAAGAUCAUUUUUCACGGUGCAGUGUGACAACUACGAAUUAUAUAUUUUGUGGUCCGUGCGCUCCCAUUUUCCCCCCAAUUUAAUCUGCCAGAAAGGUUCAACAAAGCAGCAAAAAUCUUCACUGGCAUUUUCACGUGCCUACUUAGGCCCCGGAACGCAGUGGCAAAGAUAAAUAAGAAUUCAAGAUCACCGACAAGGCUCGAGUCGGUCCUCACUUAGCCAGGAAAGGUGAGCACUGGAGCAAGGAGGGAUGACUCCGUGCAUCUGGGAACCUUCUCUUCUGAAAGUGCCUUUGCGAUCUGGCCAGAAACAGUUACGGCCGCCGCCGACCACAGUGAGUUUUGUAGGCACGGAAGUUCCGAUGAGCAAAGGGAAGAAGAAGAAAAGAGGGACAGAGGGGUGGGAAUAGAGUCGCUGCCUGGCACUCGGCCUGGGAAGACUCAUCAUUCCCUCCUCCGGGCCCUGCCUUCUGAGUUAUUUCAGCUGAAGUCUGCAGAGUCAAGCUAAAGAUAAAGGGAGGAAGAGCCAGUUGAGGUCAACCAUCCCCCAGCACUUCUACCAAAUAAUCUUCACGUUUCUCUCCAGAUCCACCGUCCACCCUCUUUCCCUGCUUCCUAUCCCGGGAGACAGACCGACAGAGACAGCAUCAGGGAUUCCCCCGCCCUAUGGCUUUGGGAUGGAGUCCACCAACAGACACGAUGGAUGGAAAGAGAGAGGGGUUGGGGGUUUGGCAGGCCAACAGCUUUCUCUUCUGUGGCGAUCCCUAGAGAGAUGUGCUUUUGAAUUAGAAGGUGAGAUGCCGUGAAGACAUAAAUUUCUCCCCUUUAAUGUAGAGGGAACAGAAACUCCAAAAUUACCCCAGCAGAACACAGAGGUAAGAAAACUUAGAUUUUUUUUUCUGUUUUAAGAAGAAAAGUGGGAGGGGUGGCCCUAUCCAAUAUUAAGUUAGCAAAUAAAAGCAGUAAGAAUUCAAGUGGCAGGGUCACCAGGAGGAAAUUCUACAUAUCCACUGGGAAGCGAGCCUGUAAAUAUUGGAUAGUCAUCCCAUCUUCCAAACAUUAAGCCAUAAAAAUAACCCCGACUUUUGAAAUUUGAGAAAUUCCCUUCUAGUGCACUUGGGUCAACACCUAACUUGUGGAUGACAGAGAAGCCCUGCCCAUCUCGCACGGAGCCCGGGGAUCCGGAGUUGCAGAGACCCGACGACCGCCCGGAAAAACUCAAUCGCUCGGCCCACGUCCAUCUUCGGUUAGGCCCAAGCCACAAAGGCUCCAUGGUGGCAGCAAAAAUAAAGAGCCACGGCUGUAAAUCGAGUCCGAGCCGCCUUCCUACCUCUCCCCGUACGACGGAGGACAUAAUUUUCUCCAGGGUUACAGCUUAAACUCACGAGUUUACAGGCUUCACGUCCAGAAUGGAGCCCAACGUGGCGCUUGAAC